UAAGGAAUAUUGGUCAAUGGACGCAAGUCUGAACCAGCCAUGCCGCAUGGAGGAUGAAGGUCCUCUGGAUUGUAAACUUCUUUUAUCUGGGACGAAACACUUCUUUUCUAAGAGGCCUGACGGUACCAGAUGAAUAAGCACCGGCUAACUCCGUGCCAGCAGCCGCGGUAAUACGGAGGGUGCAAGCGUUAUCCGGAUUCACUGGGUUUAAAGGGUGCGUAGGUGGGUAUGUAAGUCAGUGGUGAAAUCCCCGAGCUUAACUUGGGAACUGCCAUUGAUACUAUAUAUCUUGAAUACCGUAGAGGUAAGCGGAAUAUGUCAUGUAGCGGUGAAAUGCUUAGAUAUGACAUGGAACACCAAUUGCGAAGGCAGCUUACUAUGCGGUGAUUGACACUGAGGCACGAAAGCGUGGGUAGCAAACA
rnacentral:rRNA from 1 species